rnacentral:rRNA from 1 species
AGGGUUUGAUCAUGGCUCAGGAUGAACGCUGGCGGUAUGCUUAACACAUGCAAGUCGAACGAAAGUUUUUAACUUUAGUGGCGAACGGGUGCGUAAUACGUGAGAAUCUGCCCUUAGGAGAAGAAUAACUGCUGGAAACGGCUGCUAAAUCUUCAUACGUCGAGAGAUGAAAUAGCUUAGGUUGCCUAAGGAUGAGCUCACGCCUGAUUAGCUAAUUGGUGUGGUAAUGGCUCACCAAGGCCACGAUCAGUAGCUGGUUUGAGAGAACGAUCAGCCACACUGGGACUGAGACACGGCCCAGACUCCUCCGGGAGGCAGCAGUGAGGAAUUUUCCGCAAUGGGCGAAAGCCUGACGGAGCAAUACCGCGUGAGGGAUGAAGGAUUUUGGUCUGUAAACCUCUUUUCUCAAGAAAGAAGUUCUGACGGUACUUGAGGAAUAAGCAUCGGCUAACUCCGUGCCAGCAGCCGCGGUAAUACGGGGGAUGCAAGCGUUAUCCGGAAUCAUUGGGCGUAAAGCGCCUGUAGGUUGUUUAAUAAGUCUGUUGUUAAAGACUAGGGCUUAACCCUAGAAAAGCAAUGGAAACUACUAGACUAGAGUAUGGCAGGGGUAGAGGGAAUUUCUAGUGUAGCGGUGAAAUGCGUAGAUAUUAGAAAGAACACCGGUGGCGAAAGCGCUCUACUGGACCAUUACUGACACUCAGAGGCGAAAGCUAGGGUAGCAAAAGGGAUUAGAUACCCCUGUAGUCCUAGCCGUAAACGAUGGAUACUACAUGUUGUGCAUUAUGUACAGUAUGGUAGCUAACGCGUUAAGUAUCCCGCCUGGGGAGUACGCUCGCAAGGGUGAAACUCAAAGGAAUUGACGGGGGCCCGCACAAGCGGUGGAAGCA